rnacentral:rRNA from 1 species
UACGGAGGGUGCAAGCGUUACUCGGAAUUACUGGGCGUAAAGCGUGCGCAGGCGGUUUGUUAAGUCUGCUGUGAAAUCCCCGAGCUCAACUUGGGAAUUGCAGUGGAUACUGGCAAGCUGGAGUACGGUAGAGGAAGGUGGAAUUCCCGGUGUAGCAGUGAAAUGCGUAGAGAUCGGGAGGAACACCAGUGGCGAAGGCGGCCUUCUGGACCAGUACUGACGCUCAUGCACGAAAGCGUGGGGAGCAAACAGG